rnacentral:tRNA from 1 species
AAGCUUCUAACUUUUUUAAAAGCAUUAAUAUGUUUAU